rnacentral:tRNA from 1 species
UUUAAACCCUAAAUAUGAAUUGAAUCUCAUAUUA